rnacentral:sRNA from 1 species
UGUUGAAUUAGGGGCAGUGUAACCAGGGUUUGGGUUUUGAAGUAGUGGGUGUUCAACUUUAGAGUUGUUUUCCUGGAAGCACUGAUACUGGACUUAGUGGAGGAGAAAGAUGAUAUCAAUGUGUUUCUGGAUGACUGCCUGGACAACAGAGUUCAGCUUUUGGGAGAUUGACUGGGCUAUGAAGUGUACCUUUCUACUCUGCAGAGGCUGGAAAGGCAAAAAUGAUGGCUAAGACUUCCUUGCAGCCGCUGAUACAGAAGCCUGAGGGAACACACUCCCCCUACCUCCUUCUCCAACACAGCAGAGCCAGGAAGGACCCGGAUGGAAGUUAGGACAAAGAGGCCCAGAAUUGGCACAUAUACCAACAGACCAUCCGUUGAAGAAGAAAUCCAAAUGGCCACAAGCUUUAAGACUCUGGAGGCCAAGAAUUUGACUUCCCCCAGAUCCAUGGUCUGUGGAUACCAAUGUUCUGACUGGAGACGGGGAGCCAGCGAGAUCCGGGGCUCCAGGGUCUGCCCAAGGAAGUUGCUCAUGGGAGCAGACCUCUAGAGCAGGAUUUGAGGCCAGGUCCAAGAGAACCCCAGAGAUGAAAGGCCUCCUCCCACUGGCUUGGUUCCUGGCUUGUAGUGUGCCUGCUGUGCAAGGAGGCUUGCUGGACCUAAAAUCAAUGAUCGAGAAGGUGACAGGGAAGAAUGCCCUGACAAACUAUGGCUUCUACGGCUGUUAUUGCGGCUGGGGCGGCCGAGGAACCCCCAAGGAUGGCACCGAUUGGUGCUGUUGGAUGCAUGACCACUGCUAUGGGCGGCUGGAAGAGAAGGGCUGCAACAUUCGGACACAGUCCUACAAAUACAGAUUCGCGUGGGGCGUGGUCACCUGCGAGCCCGGGCCCUUCUGCCAUGUGCAGCUCUGUGCCUGUGACCGGAAGCUCGUCUACUGCCUCAAGAGAAACCUACGGAGCUAUAACCCACAGUACCAAUACUUUCCCAACAUCCUCUGCUCCUAGGCCUCCCCAGCGAGCUCCUCCCAGACCAAGACUUUUGUUCUGUUUUUCUACAACACAGAGUACUGACUCUUCCUGGUUCCUGAGAGAG